rnacentral:lncRNA from 1 species
GUUACUUGAUUAGGAGGAAGAAGUCCUGUGACUGCAAAACGCAGGAUCUCAACAGCUACAACCUCCAGCCUCAUUGCUCUUUCGUUUUCUUCUAUCUCAGGGGAAGUGAAUAGAAGCAAUGGAAUUUUGAUGCACUUGACCAAGACUCUUGUCUUAACAAUUUGUGAUUAUGACCACCCAAUUGGACUUUCAAACUGACAACUGAGUGAGAACCUGUGGAUCCUUAAGGACGAACCUGGGAUGCCUGCCUCCUGCCUUGGGCUCUCUUCAGCAUCAAAAUUAUUACAGUCUAUGAAAUGUCACAACCAAAUACGAAAUGUUACAACUAAAUAAAGAAUUCAUUAGCUCAAUUUCUCUGUUUUCA